GACAAUAUGUGCUGCCUUGCCGAGUGACCAUAAGGAUCGUCUCUGACCGCCUCUAGCUGCCGUCUUCAUCAGGACCCACCUUGGUUUCAUGUUCUUGGAGAAAGCUCCUGGCCAAUGUCUGAGUAAAGCAGUGGUAACAGUCACACACUCCUUCCAGGGGAGCUCCCAGUCUGGAGGAGAUGCUGGGGCGAAGGACUUUGCUUCCAAAUGCAUUCCAAGUGCAGGGCUUUUCUAAAGUGUGGCCUUUUGCUCUGUGGUGAGGCUGGGAAUCUGAUCUUUAGCAACACAUGUGUGCAUACACACACACACACACACACACACAAACAUACAGAGAGAGAGAGAGAGAGAGAGAGAGAGAGGCUGUGUUUAUAUCCAUGCAUUAUUACAAGCUAAUAAGGCAAAGAUGAAAAUAAUUUUAAAAAGUUAGGAGAUAGGGUUUCUAAUCCAGGCUUUGCCAUAGUGUGCAGUAAAGCCUGAACAUGGAGCCUGGGAUUUGAUGGCACUGACCUAAUAUGAGUGACUGAUCCCUUCCUUUCAUAGCUUAGUAUUUCACAGAGCAAGACAGAAAGGUAACAGUUGCCCAUGUUAGGAUACACUUCCCCUUCCCUCUGCUGCCAAAGUUAGAACCAGGGUUAAACUGCAACAGGGGCUACUCAGUAAUGCCUGGGCCUUCUAAGGGAGGAAGUGUCCUUAGCUGCUCAGCAGUCAGAUGGGUUCUGAGCACAACCAAUAACAAAAGGGACCCAUAACAUCAUCCAGGGAAGUCUGUUCCUUAGGAUAAGCUGGGGUCCAGGCAGUGCACGCAAGAAACGAGACAAUGGCUGCCAGGUUGUCUCCUGGCUCAGAAACAUCUUAUCUGAGAAAGCCUGAAAUGCUUGCUUCCCUGGUAGAUGGCAGAACAAGGGGUAACCGUUUGAGGAAGUGUGUGUGCCAAGUCACCCAGCCCACCAGAUUACAGACCAUAAGACAGAAACACACCAUAUAUCAAAGCCAUCUCCGGCGAGCCUGUGAGAGGAGACCCAGGGGACAGGACCAGGGUGGCUGCCUUCUGUGGGCUAGAACUGAAGGCCAGGAACAGCAAUUGGGAUAGUUUGGAACCAUACCCACCAGCCAGGACAGACUGGCUACCCAGAAGCCUGUUUUUGGGUUUUUUUUUUUUUUGUUUUGUUUUGUUUUUCUCAAGGAUGUGUGUGUGUGUGCCUAUUCAGAGCAUUUUCUGAUUCUAUUUAAUUUUAAGACUUGAAUUUUCUAUUAAUUUUCCUGAUGUUAUUGCAUACGAAAUUGAUUUUCAUUUUGUAUAGUUUUUUGGGGGGGAGGUAAAGAAGUACAACUGUUUUUUGCGUGUUUAUUUUGUAUCUAGAAUUUUUGUUGAAUUUGUUGCACACUCUAACAUUUGUUUAUGAAGUUUUCAGGGUUUUCUACAAGCUGUAUCAUGUCACCAAAAGUAGCAAUAAUUUAGCAAAUUCUUUUUUCUUGGUUUAAAUGCCAUUUAUUUCCUUUCCUUGGUAGACUCCUUCAGUACUGAGUUGAACAGAAGUGGGGAAAGCGGACAUUCUUGUCUUGGUUCUGAUCCUAGAAGGAAUGCUUCAAUGGUCUCCAUGAGUAGGACGCUGGCUGUGGCUUUACCAGUUAUGCGCCAGAUUUUCUGGCCAGGUCUGCACGGCCGUGACUAAGUUCCUGACAGGAACAGCAUAAGGAAGGGAUCAUGUAUUUCAGCUCACCAUUUCAGAAGGCUCAGAUCGUAGUUGCUUGAUUCUGUGUACUUGAAGCAAAACAUCAUGGGUCAAUAGUACGUGGCAGAGGAGAGCGGUUCUCAUCCCAGCAGCCCAGUGAGAAAGGUAUCCCGUGAGGUCCCUGCUGAUCUUGUGUCUCCCCCUGCUGGUCACUCUCGAGUACUACGCAUUGAAGCGGACCCACUGUUAAAUUUCCUUUUGAGAGUUUGCCUGUUAUAUAGACACGAAGUCCAACUUGUGUAUGAAUUUUCAAGUAAUUGUCUUAGCUUCUCUUCUAGUAACCCUAAGGCUGAGACAAGCGGUUUCUCUGUUGGUUCCACUCUGCUCGUUGGGGAGCUUUACUGUAGAUAAGGGCGUUUGGAGUCCUCUCGGUUUACAGAAAUCGCAUUACUGUUCUUCGGUGCAUUAGGCAGCGUUCCCUAGCGGAACUGAAGUGGUAGGACGUAUAUGAAUAGAAGGAAUUUUAUGAGGCCGAGUCACACAAUAGGGGCUGGAUAGUCCAAAACCAACAAUCUGCAUGCCAAAGACUCUGAGAACCAAGUAGCUGCUUGUGGCUGCUUUGGCACUCCCAAAAUGGUGCUGAAAGCCCAGAUGGUUCCCGGAGAGCUGCUAGCUAGCCUUCAGCUCACCCUGGAAGAGGAAAGAAGCGGCAGCCCUACACUAGUGGGGGCUGGCGGCGGUAGCAACAGCAGUGGCAAGAACAGCUGAGGUAAGAGGAGGAAGAGAGGAGGCGGUUCUGGGUUUUCUUCCCUUCUCUGUAUCAAAACACUACCUUCUGAUAGGGGCCUCCCAAGGUGGAGAGGGGCUUUCAUCCUUCUGGAUACUCCUGCCCAGAGGUGUGUCUCUUAUUUGAUCCCAGAUCCCAUCAAGCUGAUCACGUUUAGCCAUCAUACCCACCUUGAGUAUGACCUUGGUUCUACUCUCUUUUUUCUGCCCUUCCCACAGAUGUUGACAAUGAAGCUCAUGUCUCCAAAUGUGGUAGAACUCUCCAGGUCAGGGUGAGCUUUGGCACUCCCAAAGUUUCAUGCAGUCUCAUUUUGCUGUGAGGAUUGGCAUAUACUUGACUUUUACACAAUUAAUUUACAGAAUCACAUGUUAAAACAUUUCUUAUCCAAAUUAGGGUCUUUUCUAUCAGCAAAAGAGUUAGGAUAUUCAAUCCAUCAUACUGCAGGGGAAAAGCCUACCGUAUUUGAUUUUCUUUUUUCCCCUAAGAUCUAUUUAUUUUUACUUUAUGUAUAGGACUGUUUUGCCUGCUUGUAUAUAAGUGUGCCAGGUACACGCCUGGUGUCCAUGGAGGCCAGAAGAGGGCAUCAGAUCCCCUGGAACUGUAGUUAUAGACAAUGUGAACCAUGCAGGUUCUGAGAAUGGAACCCAGGACUUUUAGAAGAGCAGCCAGUGCUCUGAAGAGCUGAGCCAUAUCUCCAGCCCCCUAUGUGAUUUCCUUAUGGAAGCUCUUACCUUUUUAGCCUAUACUUCUGAGCUCAGUGUGAUGAAGUAUUAACUAUUACUACCACUGGAAUUAUUACCUGCUUCCCCCCACAAAUAGCUUAAGCUUUUUAUUUUCAAUUUACUGUCAGUUUCUUUCCUUCCUCUUAACCCUACUAUAUGAAACAGAUUGUUGAAAAAAUGAGCCUCUAAAAAGCUGUGCCACUGGCCUGGUGUGAUUAAUUGCCAUGAACAUUGUUUUUGUCUGUUUGUUUGAUCUGUUUUGUUGAUUGUAUAAUCACCCCCAGGUUCUUCUGGGUUGAGAUUUAGAAGAGGGAA